AACGAACGCUGGCGGCAGGCUUAACACAUGCAAGUCGAACGGGCGUAGCAAUACGUCAGUGGCAGACGGGUGAGUAACACGUGGGAACCUUCCUAGGGGUACGGAACAACUCAGGGAAACUUGAGCUAAUACCGUAUACGUCCGUGAGGAGAAAGAUUUAUCGCCCUUAGACGGGCCCGCGUCGGAUUAGCUAGUUGGUGGGGUAACGGCCUACCAAGGCGACGAUCCGUAGCUGCUCUUAGAGGAUGAUCAGCCACACUGGGACUGAGACACGGCCCAGACUCCUACGGGAGGCAGCAGUGGGGAAUCUUGGACAAUGGGCGCAAGCCUGAUCCAGCCAUGCCGCGUGAGUGAAGAAGGCCUUAGGGUUGUAAAGCUCUUUUACCAGGGGCGAUAAUGACGGUACCUGGAGAAUAAGCCCCGGCAAACUUCGUGCCAGCCGCCGCGGUAACAC
rnacentral:rRNA from 1 species